AAAAAAGAAAAAAAGUGAAAACUCAACUACAUAACAAAGAAGUUUGGCAUUGUCUAGUCAGAUCCAUAGAAAUAAGGUACAAUGAGAUUGUGUAAGGUAAGCUGUGAUUGAUAAUGCCCUUAGGGACCUUUAUCUUAAUAAAGGUUCAUGCACAUUAAGCUGGACACCAAAGAAUGCAGUUCAUUGUUCAAGCAAAUUCAUUCAAGCAACAGAUAUCAAAUACCGGCAAUGCUUUGCACAGCUUUCUCUUCACUAUCUUUGGAGUCUUGGAGGUUAUCGGGUAUAAAGACCCAAUUGAAAUGUUAAAGAAUAAAACUAUGUGAAGUUACGCCUAGCAUGCGCCCUACGUGAAGCACAUGUCACUUGCAAGGUGCAAAAGGCACUGCUGCAUCAAAUGUGUGGCGCUACGUUAUUGCCCUGCACCGUAGGGCGCAUGAGGCGCGCGCCUUUGAAAACACUGGCUCGGAUAUGACUAUAUAAAGAGCAUGUUGGCGGGUAGCAAGGUACAGCAAAAGGGGAGAAGUACAAAGAAAUCAAGAGAGCGUCAACAGUCCAGAAUUUCCAACCAGUAGAGAGUUCUAUCCUUGAUCUAAGGGCAAACGUUAUCUGAUCGAGAUGAAAGUUUAGAUUUUUGUUCUUGAGAUGUUGGGUGCUCACAUCCAACGAUUGGAUCAUCAAUUUGAGUCCUCUACAAUAAUCUGUCAUCCACCUUUUGAUGAGUUUGUUUCAUGCUA